AGGGGAAUGAGGAGAGAGGAGGAAGAGGAGCAGGAGCAAGAGGAGAUAAAAAGAGCAGGAGAGAAGGAGAGGAAAGCUUCCCUUUCUAUCCCCACUACUAUCCUAGAUAAGGAUAUGCAUUAUAGGUGGCUUAUAAACAUCUGGAUGAAUGAAGAGAAUUUUCCAAGUAUCAACUCUAUAAGAGUUAGAAGCAUAUGGUCAAUUUAGUUAUUUUGAGGCUGUCCAUUUUGUGGAGAAUAUAGUUCCAUUUCUUCCUAGAUUGUAAAGUAGCCUUUAGAAUAUGUUAUGUGAAGUUGAAAUUAAUCAAAGACAUGAAAAUUAAAUCUCUUCUUGAAUGUCCCCAGAAUAAAAAUUCAGACAAAAAUUUUAAAAAGCAAAAUCUGGUUGCAUUUGCAAAUCCAAAAUAUUUUUAAAAUAUCUUAUGGAGGGUGCCAAUUGUCUUGGAGCUCAGCCCAGGAUUAAGGGGGACAACAGAACCUAUUUUCUGAAUUCAGAGGAGAAGUUGUUUGGACUGGACAGUGACCGUAUCCUUUAAGAGUACACAGCAAAACAUGCAGCAUUUGAGAGGUGGCCAGCACUAAAAUGCUCGACCCUUCACCCUCUUUAUCCUCUUUCCCAAGUUAUUCUGAAUUGCCUCUCCCCUACCUUCAGGAAAUAAAAGAGCAAGAGAAGGAGCAAUGUAUGGAAGUGUUCUCCAGGGCUAGGAUCUUUAUGAGUCUUUGCCUCUGUACUAGUUGCUAGAAGUUGUGUUUUUUUUGGAUGCGCUCAUAGAUCAAUUGUCUUGAAGUUGAUGAUUCUCUGCCUUUGGCUGUUUUGCCACACCUCUUUCAACAAUGGACUACUUGGGCAAUUGAUCUGGUGAAGCUCAGGAAUUUCUGGAGUUGGAGAGUGAAAAACAGGAAGUGGUGCAAGGCACCUUCAGCUAAUCCCUCUGAAGGCUCGUCCUCCUUCUCCCAUCAGUUCAUUCCCUUGUCCCAUUUCUUCUUGCUUCUGCAAGAGAUGGCAAUUGGAGCACAUGAGACUUUUCUAGAUCUCAGUAACCUGCUAUAGUUAAAAAUCUAUGGUUAAAAUGACUUUAUUUUUACUUAUAUUAUUCCUUGCACACACAGGAUGAAACUGAGAAAUAACACUGAGACAAUUUCUAUGUUGGAUCAACCAUGAAAGAUAAAAACUCAAAGCAGACAUAAUGCUCCUACUGACAUACAAGUAUUUUUUAUAAGGUGACUUCUUGAAACAUAUAGGAAAGUAUGUAUAACACCAUACAGGAGAAAUAUAAAAUGAAGAGUCAUAAACCCACCUUCCUGUUAAGCAAUAGAACAUAGUUGCCUCCGAAUCUUUUCUUUUCUUUUCUUUUCUUUUCUUUUCUUUUCUUUUCUUUUCUUUUCUUUUUUCUUUGCUGUGGAUUCUUUCCAGUUCCAUCAGCUCUUGCCUUUCAGAGGUAACCAAAACCCUGAAUAGUAUGUUAUACAUUUCUUUGCUUUCUUUUAUGAUUAUAUAAUAUGCAUGUACAAAUUUAAUUCAUUUCAUAAGUCUAUGAUUUUCAUGUAAGCACAAUUAUAUCUAUGUAUGUGCUUCUAUGAUUUGCAUUUUUGGAAUUUUGUGUUUUUUAAACGUAAUUCUCCUGUAAUCAGUCUGUGCUGUUGUGUAUGUCUAAGACUUUCUUAUUCUUAAAUGUCACAUAAUAUUCUAUUGUUUGAUCUUAAUAAUUCUUCUGUUGACAGAUACCUGGGCUGGUGCCAGUUGUUUCAGUAAUGUAAACAACGAUCCUCUAAACAGUCAUGUGGUUUUUUUUUUUUAAUUUCUGGAGCACACACAUAAGAAUUUUGCAAAUGUAUACUGGUAAGAAUAGAAACACCAUAUAUUAAGGAUGUACCACUGAAGUGUGCUGGGUGAUGUCAGAUACUUUCUAAAAUGCUGACAUUACUCUACAUUCCCAACUGCUUGUGAGAUAUGAUAUUGUCUACCAAUAUGCUUUCUAAUGUUUAUAAAUCUCUUAAACAUGAAUUAGUAUUUCAUUAUAAUUUUCUCCAGUCAUAUGAGAAUUACUUCUUUCAUAUUUUUUAUGACUCAUCCACAUGUAUUGUUUGGGGGAAUUUUAAUCACAUAUUUUGCUCAUUGUCUUAUUAGCUGGUUCAUUUUAUUCUAUCUUCUAUAUCUUAAAAUUUUAUUCUUUGAGAAUUUCAUACAUGAAUAUGCUGUAUUUUGAUUAUAUUUUUUCUUCUCAUCUCUCCAAUGUGUCUUCAAAUGUCCUCCUCUCAAAUUAAUAUCCUUUUCUAAAACAUAGUUCACUGGGUUCAUUUAGUGUAUAAUGUUCAUUGACUACAUUUGUGAAAAGUGCACAGUGUGUUAGAAUAAAGCAAUAUAGCAGGUAGCUAUGUCAAAGGAGACCACACAAGUCAGGGGCAGUUAGUAUUUAGCCGUCCUAGUGUUUGAAAAUAUAAUGAAGUAUUCCCCUUUAAAUUUGUUUAAUGGGCUGUGUCCAGCUUUCAUUAUUGCAGUUUGAUUUUAUCUCCCAUAGGUUCAUACACCCGAGAAAAUGUUAGCUUGUAUAUUAAAUACAUAAGGUAACUUAUUUUGUUUUUGUAAUUGUUUCAUAUUGUUUAAGGAAGGGUCUCAUUAUGUAGCUCUGGCUGGCCUGGAACUCACUAUGUAGACUAGGCUUUCCUCAAACUGAAAGAGAUCUGUUUACCUCUACCUUUGUUUAUUAAGACUUUCUAAGGUGAGUAAUGGUGGAACACACGUUUAAUCCCAGCACUAAGAAGACAGAGGUAUGGAAGUCUCUGUGAGGGGUCUUGAGUAUCAUGACAUCAAGGGUUGUUCCCCAAUAAAAAGACAUAGACUAAAAGACUGGCUACACAAACAGGACCCAACAUUCUGCUGCUUACAGGAAACCCAUCUCAGGGAAAAAGACAGACACUAACUCAGAGUGAAAGGCUGGAAAACAAUUUUCCAAGCAAAUAGUCUGAAGAAACAAGCUGGAGUAGCCAUUCUAAUAUUGAAUAAAUAUGGACUUCCAACCCAAAGUUAUCAAAAAAGACAAGGAGGGACACUUCACACUCAUCAAAGGUAAAAACUUCCAAGAGGAACUCUCAAUUCUGAAUAUCUAUGCUCCAAAUACAAGGGCAGCCACAUUCAUUAAAGAAACUUUAGUAAAGCUCAAAGCACACAUUGCACCUCACACAAUAAUAGUGGGAGACUUCAACACACCACUUUCAUCAAUGGACAGAUCAUGGAAACAGAAACUAAACAGGGACAAGGUGAAACUAACAGAAGUUAUGAAAUAAAUGGAUUUAACAGAUAUCUACAGAACAUUUUAUCCUAAAACAAAAGGAUAUACCUUCUUCUCAGCAACUCAUGGUACAUUCUCCAAAAUUGACCAUAUAAUUGGUCACAAAACAGGCCUCAGCAGAUACAAAUAUAUUGAAAUUGUCCAAUACAUCCUAUCAGAUCACCAUGGAUUAAGGCUGAUCUUCAAUAACAACAUAAGUAAUAAAAAGCCAACAUUCACGUGGAAACUGAACGACACUCUUCUCAAUGAUACCUUGGUCAAGGAAGGAAUAAAGAAAUUAAAGACUUUUUAGAGUUUAAUGAAAAUGAAGCCACAACAUACCCAAACUUAUGGGACACAAUGAAAGCAUUUCUAAGAGGAAAACUCAUAGCUCUGAGUGCCUCCAAAAAGAAACUAGAGAGAGCACACACUAGCAGCUUGACAACACACCUAAAAGCUCUAGAACAAAAGGAAGCAAAUUCACCCAAGAGGAAUAGACAGCAGGAAAUAAUCAAACUCAGGGGCAAAAUCAACGAAGUGGAAAGAAGAAGAACUAUUAAAGAAUCAACCAAACCAGGAGCUGGUUCUUUGAGAAAAAUCAACAAGAUAGAUAAACCCUUAGCCAGACUCACUAGAGGGCACAGGGACAGCAUCCUAAUUAACAAAAUCAGAAAUGAAAAGGGAGACAGAACAACAGAUCCUGAAGAAAUCCAAAACACUAUCAGAUCCUUCUACAAAAGGCUAUACUCAACAAAACUGAAAACCCUGGAUGAAAUGGACAAAUUUCUAGACAGAUACCAGGUACCAAAGUUAAAUCAGGAUCAGGUUAAUCGUAUAAACAAUCCUAUAUCCCCUAAAGAAAUAGAAGCAGUCAUUAAUAGUCUCCCAACCAAAAAAAGCCCAGGGCCAGAUGGGUUUGGUGCAGAGUUCUAUCAGACCUUCAAAGAAGAGCUAAUUCCAGUUCUUUACAAACUAUUACACAAAACAGAAGCAGAAUGUACUCUACCCAACUCAUUCUAUGAAACCACAAUUACUCUGAUACCUAAACAACAGAAAGAUCCAACAAAGAUAGAGAACUUCAGACCAAUUUCCCUUAUGAAUAUCGAUGCAAAGAUCCUCAAUAAAAUUAUCGCUAACCGAAUCCAAGAACACAUCAAAACAAUCAUCCAUCCUGACCGAGUAAGUUUCAUUCCAGGAAUGCAGGGAUGGUUUAAUAUACAGAAAUCCAUCAACGUAAUUCACUAUAUAAACAAACUCAAAGACAAAAACCACAUGAUCAUCUCGUUAGAUGCAGAGAAAGCAUUUGACAAAAUCCAACACCCAUUCAUGUUAAAUGUCUUGGAAAGAUCAGGAAUUCAAGGCCCAUACCUAAACAUGAUAAAAAACAAUCUACAACAAACCAGUAGCCAAAAUCAAAGUAAAUGGUGAGAAGCUGGAAGCAACCCCACUAAAAUCAGGGACUAGACAAGGCUGCCCACUUUCUCCCUACCUAUUCAACAUUGUACUUGAAGUCCUAGCCAGAGAAAUUCAACAACAAAAGGAGAUCAAAGGGAUACAAAUUGGAAAGGAAGAUGUCAAAAUAUCACUUUUUGCAGAUGAUAUGAUAGUAUAUAUAAGUGACCCUAAAAAUUCCACUAGAGAACUCCUAAGCCUGAUAAACAGAUUCAUUGAAGUAACUGGAUAUAAAAUUAACUCAAACAAGUCAAUGGCCUUUCUCUACACAAAUGAUAAACAGGCUGAGAAAGAAAUUGGGGAAACAACACCCUUCUCAGUAGUCACAAAUAAUAUAAAAUAUCUCAGCAUGACUCUAACUAAGGAAGUGAAAGAUCUGUAUGAUAAGAUCUUCAAGUCUCUGAAGAAAGAAAUUAAAGAAGACCUCCGAAAAUAGAAAGAUCUCCCAUGCUCAUGGAUUGGCAGGAUCAAUAUAGUCAAAAUGGCUAUCUUGCCAAAAGCAAUCUACAAAUUCAAUGCAAUCCCCAUCAAAAUUCCAACUAAAUUCUUCAACGAAUUAGAAUGGGCAAUCUGCAAAUUCAUCUGGAAUAACAAAAAACCUAGGAUAGCAAAAACUCUUCUCAAGGAUAAAAGAACCUCUGGUGGAAUCACCAUGCCUGACUUAAAGCUGUACUACAGAGCAAUUGUGAUAAAAACUGCAUGGUACUGGUAUAGCGACAGACAAGUAGACCAAUGGAAUAGAAUUGAAGACCCAGAAAUGAACCCACACACCUAUGGUCACUUGAUCUUUGACAAGGGAGCUAAAACCAUCCAGUGGGAAAAAGACAGCAUUUUCAACAAAUGGUGCUGGCACAACUGGUGGUUAUCAUGUAGAAGAAUGCAAAUUGAUCCAUUCCUAUCUCCUUGUACUAAGGUCAAAUCUAAGUGGAUCAAGGAACUUCACAUAAAAGCAGAGACAGUGAAAUUUAUAGAGGAGAAAGUGGGGAAAAGCCUUGAAGAUAUGGGCACAGGGGAAAAAAUUCCUGAACAGAACAAUGGCUUGUGCUGUAAGAUCGAGAAUCAACAAAUGGGACCUUAUAAAAUUGCAAAGCUUCUUUAAGGCAAAAGACACUGUCAAUAAGACAAAAAGGCCACCAACAGAUUGGGAAAGGAUCUUUACCUAUCAUAAAUCAGAUAGGGGUCUAAUAUCCAAUAUAUAUAAAGAACUCAAGAAGGUGGACUCCAGAAAAACAAAUAACCCCAUUAAAAAUGGGGCUCAGAGUUAAACAAAGAAUUCUCACCGGAGGAAUACUAAAUGGCUGAGAAGCACCUGAAAAAAUGUUCACCAUCCUUAAUCAUCAGGGAAAUGCAAAUCAAAACAACCCUGAGAUUCCACCUCACACCAGUCAGAAUGGCUAAGAUCAAAAAUUCAGGUGACAGCAGAUGCUGGCGAGGAUGUGGAGAAAGAGGAACACUCCUCCAUUGUUGGUGGGACUGCAAGCUUGUACAACCACUCUGGAAAUCAUUCUGGCAGUUUCUCAGAAAAUUGGACAUAAUACUACCGGAGGAUCCCGCAAUACCUCUCCUGGACAUAUAUCCAGAAGAUGUCCCAACCGGUAAGAAGGACACAUGCUCCACUAUGUUCAUAGCAGCCUUAUUUAUAAUAGCCAGAAGCUGGAAAGAACCCAGAUGCCACUCAACAGAGGAAUUGAUACAGAAUAUGUGGUACAUUUACACAAUGGAGUACUACUCAGCUAUUAAAAAGAAUGUAUUUAUGAAAUUCCUAGGCAAAUGGAUGGACCUGGAGGGCAUCAUCCUGAGUGAGGUAAUCCAGUUACAAAAGAACUCACAUGAUAUGCAGUCACUGAUAAGUGGAUAUUAGUCCAGAAACUUAGAAUACCCAAGAUAUUAGAUACAAUUUGUGAAACACAUGAAACUCAAGAGUGAAGACCAAAGUGUGGACACUAUGCCCCUCCUUAGAAGUGGGAACAAAACACCCAUGGAAGGAGUUACGGAGACAAUGUUUGGAGCUGAGAAGAAAGGACAGACCAUCUAGAGACUGCCAUAUCCGGGGAUCCAUUCCAUAAUCAGCCUCCAAACGCUGACACCAUUGCAUACACUAGCAGGAUUUUGCUGAAAGGACCCUGAUGUAACUGUCUCUUGUGAGGCUAUGCCAGGGCCUAGCAAACACAGAAGUGGAUGCUCACAGUCAGCUAUUGGAUGGAUCACAGGGCCCCCAAUGGAGAAGGUAGGGAAAGUACCCAAGGAGCUGGGGAGAUCUGCAACUCUAUAGGUGGAACAACAAUAUGAACUAACCAGUACCCCCCGAGCUCAUGUUUCUAGCUGCAUAUGUAUCAGAAGAUGGCCUAGUCAGCCAUCAGUGGAAAGAGAGGUACUUUGGUUGUGCAAACUUUAUAUGCCUCAGUGCAGGGGAAUGCCAGGGCCAAGAAAUGGGAGUAGGUCCGUAGGGGAUUGGGUGGGGGAGGGUAUGGGGGACUUGAAAUGUAAAUGAAGAAAAUACCCAAUUUAAAAAAAGAAAUAAAAAUAAAAGACAAACACCUAGAAAUAAAAAAAAAGAAACAAAAACAAACAAACUGUAUGAAACAAAAAGGCUCUAAGAAAAAUUAAAUGUGUUAUUUUUCAAUUAUUGAUAUACUAUUUUUCUCUCAAUUCACUAUGGUGAGGAGAAACUAUACCACUAUAGUUGAUCAUGUCAAACAAACUUUCAAUCCUGGAGUAUACUCAAAUUGUUUGUUUUGUAUCAUCUUUAAAAAUUUCAAAACUUUUAAAAAUUUUGUGUGGAGUAUUUUGCUUGCAUGUAUGUAUGUGUAACAUGUAUAUGUCUGCUACCUGCUGCUUGUGUAAGCCAGAAGAGGAUAUUAGAUCUCGAACUGGAGCUAUUGAAGCCACCAUGGGGACAGUAGAAAUUGAACCCAGAACCUUCCCAAGACCAUGAGUGUCAGUGUUUCUGACGAAUGAGAUGCUUCUCCAGUCCCAUGUCACACCAUCUUCUAAAUUACAUUGUUGUCCUUGGUUCACUAAGAACUUGUUGAAAACUUUUCACAUCUUUGCUCAUCAAUAACACUGGUUACUAUUUUCUAGGAACUGUCAUUGCUCAGUAACAGGGUUAUACUGAUAGCAAAAUCUGAGUGAGACAUUUCCUCAUUACUCUCUGAAAAAUCUUGCAUGAGGUUGGUUAUCUCUUUCUUAGAUAUUCAUAAACCUUCCGCUAGCCUAUUUUUCUUUUGAUGACUGACUCAACUUCUUUAUUGAUUGUAACAGUACUUCAUAACUUUUCAUGCUUUGAUAUAAGGACAAAAAUCAUAUCUACUCUACAACAUGUUGGAAAAAUUGGAGGGAUAUGAAUGUAUAUGUAAUAUUGUAAGCUUUCAUUAUAACUAAAUUAAUUAGAAGUAAAACAGAAUAAAAUCACUUUUUCUGAAACAUGAAA